CCGAGUCGGUGAAUCUGAGAUUAUAAAUAGGUGAGAAUUCUUCCUCUUACAAUCAUCUUGUCGGCAGCGAGAAGGCUAAGUCGGUAGCAGGACUGUCUGUCUCCGAGCUCAAAGAGCAUAUCACACCGUCUCUACAGAGACGGUUAACAACCUCCGUAAUAGGCUUAGACAGAGACACCUGCAGCUCCUCCAUACAUCCGGUUUGUGUUUCUCAUCUUCUUCUUCCCAAUCUAUAUGUAGUGGUAUGGGAUUAUUUGUUCUUUUACCUGUUUCUGAUUUCUUUAAGACUGAAUUUUGAUAGUGGCUAAGUACUCGGUGGCGCAGAGCGACGAAUCUGGAUUUUCGUUGUAUUCUUUUGGGACACACCAGAAAGGUGAGUGAGAAGUUGCAUCUUAUUGGUUACAUAUAUUCUGCAAUUUUUUUUUUUUUUUUUUUGGUAACAACAUAUAUUCUGCAAAUAUAUCUUUGUAUUCCUCCACUGCAAAGUAUAUCUUUUUAUUCCUAACUAUCCAUCUUUAUUGGGUUUUAUAGCUUAUGAUUAAGUGUUUAGUGUAGCCAAUCUUUGAAGCUUCAUUCUUGGAGGAAUAUAAGUCUGAACGUUCUAUACGAUUCGAAUAGUUUUCCUGUUUGAAGUAUUUGGUAGAGAUCCUAACUUUUUAACUUUAAAAUGUGUGGAUUCACAGGUUUUUUCUUUCGACUGGACGGCUGAAAUGAAGUAGAUUGUCAGUGCAUCUCAACAAGAAGGGCCUCAACUAGAAGAGAAAAGUGAUGGAAUAUGGAAAGACGAAACCAAUGGGCGAAGUGAUGAAGCUUCUGCAUUUUUGGGAAGCACAGAAUGCGAACAAGCAUGGUGAUCUCAUGGGUGUUUAUAUUACUUUGGUGGAUGAAAAGGUGUAUUUUAAUUAACUUAAGCUCUGAUAUUCUACACCGAAAAUAAAUCUUAUUUGUAUUAACUCCACGGAACAAUUUUUUUUUUCUAUUAGGUUUACCGAGAAGACCCGUUUUGUUGAGAUUGCAGAGGCAUUUUAACCCUAUCCCUACGUCGAAUCUCUCUUUUUAGUUACAACAUAGUCAACUCUCAGGACAAGACAAACAAUAGCGAAAGAGCCUUCUUGGCAUGUUCGUGGCGUCUUUGUCACUUAAGAUUUCUCUCACACACAUCUCCUUUAAAACAGAGAUAUUGUCUUCAAGCUAAGCUACUGUGAAUGUGUUUGCUAUAAUCUUACUAUGCUUUGUAAAUGGACUGCAACAUGUAUAACUAACUUCACAAUGAACCAGGCAAAAAAGACUUUGAAUUCACGAAAGAGCUUCUACGGUUAAAGGGAUUUGUGAUAGUGGUUCACUUAAUUAA
rnacentral:lncRNA from 1 species